AUUGAACGCUGGCGGCAGGCUUAACACAUGCAAGUCGAGCGGGGGAAGGUAGCUUGCUACCGGACCUAGCGGCGGACGGGUGAGUAAUGCUUAGGAAUCUGCCUAUUAGUGGGGGACAACAUCUCGAAAGGGAUGCUAAUACCGCAUACGUCCUACGGGAGAAAGCAGGGGAUCUUCGGACCUUGCGCUAAUAGAUGAGCCUAAGUCGGAUUAGCUAGUUGGUGGGGUAAAGGCCUACCAAGGCGACGAUCUGUAGCGGGUCUGAGCGGAUGGUCCGCCACACUGGGAUUGAGACACGGCCCAGAGUCCUACGGGAGGCAGCAGUGGGGAAUAUUGGACAAUGGGGGGAACCCUGAUCCAGCCAUGCCGCGUGUGUGAAGAAGGCCUUAUGGUUGUAAAGCACUUUAAGCGAGGAGGAGGCUACUUUAGUUAAUACCUAGAGAUAGUGGACGUUACUCGCAGAAUAAGCACCGGCUAACUCUGUGCCAGCAGCCGCCGUAA
rnacentral:rRNA from 1 species